AGUGAACGCUGGCGGUAGGCCUAACACAUGCAAGUCGAACGGCAGCACAGUAAGAGCUUGCGAUUACGGGUGGCGAGUGGCGGACGGGUGAGGAAUACAUCGGAAUCUACUUUUUAGUGGGGGAUAACGUUGGGAAACUUACGCUAAUACCGAAUAAGAACUACGGGUGACAGUAGGGCAUCUUCGGACUUUGCCCGCUUGAAUGAGCCGAUGUCGGUGUAGCUAGUUUGCGGGGUAAAGGCCCACCAAGGCGACGAUCCGUAGCUGGUCCGAGGGGAUGAUCAGCCAAACUUGAACUUAGACACGGGCCAAAAUCCUACGGGAGGCAGCAUGUGGGAAUUUUGGACAAUUGGGGCAAACCUUAUCCAGGCAAUCCGGGUGGGAGAAUAAGGCCUUCGGGUUUGAAAACCGUUUUGUUGGGGAAGAAAAGGAGCAGUUUAAUACCACGAUGUUCUGACGGUACCCAAAGAAUAAGCACCGGCUAACUUCGUG
rnacentral:rRNA from 1 species